UGAUGACAAUUGAAGUCCUGUAUUUAUCCACAGUCUAGGUACCGUACAGGCAGCCACAAUGCGAGCUUCCAUACACUACUACCCUGACUUGGAGGAACCAUCCUCUCUAAGGGUAUAAAGGUAAUUCAGCCUCCAUAUUAGCCUAGACAUUU
rnacentral:sRNA from 2 species